GACGAACGCUGGAGGCGUGCCUAAUACAUGCAAGUUGAGCGCUGAAGGUUGGUACUUGUACCAACUGGAUGAGCAGCGAACGGGUGAGUAACGCGUGGGUAAUCUGCCUUUGAGCGGGGGACAACAUUUGGAAACGAAUGCUAAUACCGCAUAAAAACUUUAAACACAAGUUUUAAGUUUGAAAGAUGCAAUUGCAUCACUCAAAGAUGAUCCCGCGUUGUAUUAGCUAGUUGGUGAGGUAAAGGCUCACCAAGGCGAUGAUACAUAGCCGACCUGAGAGGGUGAUGGGACACAAUGGGACUUAGACACGGGCCAAACUCCUACGGGAGGCAGCAGGAGGGAAUUUUCGGCAAUGGAGGAAAGACUGACCGAGCAACGCAGCGUGAGGGAAGAAGGUUUUCGGAUGGUAAAACGCUGUUGGUAGAGAAGAACGUUGGUGAGAGUGAAAAGCUCAUCAAGUGACGGUAACUACCCAGAAAGGGACGGCUAACUACGUG
rnacentral:rRNA from 1 species